GACGAACGCUGGCGGCGUGCUUAACACAUGCAAGUCGAGCGGAGCGGCGAACGGGUGAGUAACGCGUGAGUAACUGCCCCCCUCUCUGGGAUAACAGUGGGAAACGGCUGCUAAUAACGGAUAGUGGGGGAUGACUCGCGUCCGAUCAGCUUGUUGGUGGGGUAGUGGCCUACCAAGGCGACGACGGGUAACCGGCCUGAGAGGGCGACCGGCCACAGUGGGCUGAGAUACGGCACGAAGUCGGACGGGAGGCAGGAGUGUGGGAGAUAGCACGAUCAAGGAAACUAGGGUGAAGGAACACGCGUGCGGGAUGGCAACCUUCGGGUUGUAAACAGCAUUCAGCCAUGACGCGGUAGUGGCAGAAGAAGCACCGGCUAACUACGUGCCAGCAGCCGCGGUAAUUC
rnacentral:rRNA from 1 species